UAUUGCACAAUGGGCGCAAGCCUGAUGCAGCCAUGCCGCGUGUAUGAAGAAGGCCUUCGGGUUGUAAAGUACUUUCAGUUGUGAGGAAGGGGGUGUUGUUAAUAGCAACAUCUCUUGACGUUAGCAACAGAAGAAGCACCGGCUAACUCCGUGCCAGCAGCCGCGGUAAUACGGAGGGUGCGAGCGUUAAUCGGAAUUACUGGGCGUAAAGCGCAUGCAGGUGGUUCAUUAAGUCAGAUGUGAAAGCCCGGGGCUCAACCUCGGAACUGCAUUUGAAACUGGUGAACUAGAGUACUGUAGAGGGGGGUAGAAUUUCAGGUGUAGCGGUGAAAUGCGUAGAGAUCUGAAGGAAUACCAGUGGCGAAGGCGGCCCCCUGGACAGAUACUGACACUCAGAUGCGAAA
rnacentral:rRNA from 1 species